rnacentral:lncRNA from 1 species
UGAGAUCUAAAGAUAAACCUUGCUCUUCUUCCUUAAAAAACAUAUCAAAAUUUAGGUCGUAAUCCCAUAUAUUGGAGCCCUCAACACCACCAAAACUUGAGCCAUCAAGAUCAUCAGGGACUACAUUAGCAAAAAGGUUCAUGUUCCUAUCAACUUGUUCGAAAUUCACAGCUCCAUUCUCAGCUAAACCUAAAACUCUCUCUUCCCGGC